UUGGAGGGCAAGUCUGGUGCCCGCAGCCGCGGUAAUUCCAGCUCCAAUAGCGUAUAUUAAAGUUGUUGCUGUUAAAAAGCUCGUAGUUGAAUCUCGGGAUUGACGUGAUGGUCAUGCCUUAAGGGGUAUGAACUGUUACAGUUGAUUUCUCACCUUCUGGAGAAACUUGAUGUCCUUUAUUGGGUGUCUUGCGGAUCCAGGACCUUUACCUUUAAAAAAUUAGAGUGUUUAAAGCAGGCAUUUUUGCUCGAAUACAUUAGCAUGGAAUAAUAGAAUAGGACGGCAUGGUUCUAUUUUGUUGGUUUCUAGGAUCACCGUAAUGAUUAAUAGGGAUAGUUGGGGGCAUUAGUAUUCAAUUGUCAGAGGUGAAAUUCUUGGAUUUAUUGAAGACUAACUACUGCGAAAGCAUUUGCCAAGGAUGUUUUCAUUAAUCAAGAACGAAAGUUAGGGGAUCGAAGACGAUCAGAUACCGUCGUAGUCUUAACCAUAAACUAUGCCGACUAGGAAUCAGACGAUGUUAAUUUUUUAAUGACUCGUUUGGCACCUUACGGGAAACCAAAGUGUUUGGGUUC
rnacentral:rRNA from 1 species